rnacentral:rRNA from 1 species
GACGAACGCUGGCGGCGUGCUUAACACAUGCAAGUCGAGCGGUAAGGCUCCUUCGGGAGUACACGAGCGGCGAACGGGUGAGUAACACGUGAGCAAUCUGCCCUUCACUUUGGGAUAACUCCGGGAAACCGGUGCUAAUACCGAAUGCGACCACUUCAGGCAUCUGACGGUGGUGGAAAGUUCCGGCGGUGAAGGAUGAGCUCGCGGCCUAUCAGCUUGUUGGUGAGGUAAUGGCUCACCAAGGCUUCGACGGGUAGCCGGCCUGAGAGGGUGACCGGCCACACUGGGACUGAGACACGGCCCAGACUCCUACGGGAGGCAGCAGUGGGGAAUAUUGGACAAUGGGCGAAAGCCUGAUCCAGCAACGCCGCGUGAGGGAUGACGGCCU